AUUCUUCAUCAUAUGUGUCGUCUUUGGUUACCACAGUGUAGCCUUUGGGAUGAUGAACCAUGGCCUAAAGGUUGCACUUUGAUUUAUUGGAUGUAUGUCAUUGAAUUUCUCUUUGAAGUUUUCUAGGGUUUAUGUGUUUGGUUUCAAAAUGAAGGUUAGGGAGAGUUUCGGGAAAAAUAAAGGUAAAAGAUCGAGAGAAGAUGAGGAGAGGUUUAAUUUAAUGGAAGUUUAGG
rnacentral:lncRNA from 1 species